AUCCUUCUACUUUAUAGCGAGUAGAACAACGUUUAAAAAUAAUCCAACCCUAAAGAAACCCCCAAAUCCGUACAAAGAGGGGGGGUUAGGCGAGGUGACUCAGGGGAGAGAACGGCAGCCCCACGCUGCUGGGGGCGCUUGAAGCGGGGAUUUGGGGUGCUGUCACGACACAUGUGCGUGUCCGUGCGUCCGUCCGCGUGUCCGUGGCCGGCCGGGAGCCGCACACAGCGGCAGGCGGGCUCCGGGCUGGAGGGCUCGGUCCUGCGUGUGGAGCCUGAGCUAUGGAAAUGUGAAACCUCGAAAUAAAACAUGAGAAGAUGAAGGGGUUGGACAAAUUCAGCUGGAGGAGAGAGAGCGAGCUGCUGUCUUAAAAGCAGCCAGCGGAGGCUAAUGAGACCUUUGGGGUGGGAAGAAGGCAAGCCCUCCUCAGCGGAGCCCCGGGCUCGCCCCCCGAGCCGCACAGCCACCCCGAGCUCUCCCUGCUGCACGUUACCA